UAGGGAAUCUUCGGCAAUGGGGGGAACCCUGACCGAGCAACGCCGCGUGAGUGAAGAAGGUUUUCGGAUCGUAAAGCUCUGUUGUUAAGGAAGAACGAGUGUGAGAAUGGAAAGUUCAUGCUGUGACGGUACUUAACCAGAAAGGGACGGCUAACUACGUGCCAGCAGCCGCGGUAAUACGUAGGUCCCGAGCGUUGUCCGGAUUUAUUGGGCGUAAAGCGAGCGCAGGCGGUUAGAAAAGUCUGAAGUGAAAGGCAGUGGCUCAACCAUUGUAGGCUUUGGAAACUGUUUAACUUGAGUGCAGAAGGGGAGAGUGGAAUUCCAUGUGUAGCGGUGAAAUGCGUAGUUAUAUGGAGGAACACCGGUGGCGAAAGCGGCUCUCUGGUCUGUAACUGACGCUGAGGCUCGAAAGCGUGGGGAGCGAACAGG
rnacentral:rRNA from 1 species